UUAUUUUAAUUGGUCAGUUUGACUAACUGCCUCAUAUCUUUAGGAGUCAUCUGUUCGAAAAUUGAUGACUGAAACAUAUCCCAUUCAGCGUGAAAUCCUCAACGAUGCUGAUACCCCUAUUGGCGUUGUAAAGGAAGAGUGGCCUUUCCUGUUUGAAGUUCCUCACCUGUUUGAUCAUGCAUCUAAACUCCUUGGCUUCUCUGUACAAAACAAGCUGGCACAGGAACUUUCCAAAAAAGAAAAGGGGAUCAAUGACUUCCUUGACUCCAAAGGGAUGAAGACGGGCGAAGGUCCAAUACAGCUCAUCUGUGGCAUUGCAAAAUACUUCAAGGAAGACUCGUGUAAACUCUUCGACAAAAAAGAGGUAGAUGUUGAACAUUUUAAACUGUGUGCAAGACAAUUAUUUGCAUCCAGUGGUGAACAAGUAACCAAUCACAGUAUGAAUUAUAGAUUCCCCUAAUUGUGCUGCUGAUAUUCUCUAUAAACUCUCUCUCUAUAAACUAUUUACAUCAAUGUCUGUGCUUAAUGGCUACCUCUGUCUGAUGAAGACUCUAGCAGAUAGUCAAUUUGCCAGCAAGUUUGUGUGCACUGGAAACAUUAAUUCAUGUGUCAUGUCUGUCACCAAAAAAGAUCUCUGCAGAUCCUGAAGUCGAACUCCCAGUGACCCCAUGUAUCCUAGUCAGAGGUUUGUAGUUAAAUAUUUUUUGUAUCUCAGCGAGCUGUUUUAUAAGCUGUUGUUUUGUCGUAUUUAUUAAAGAAAUGUUUUGCUUGCCUUAAAAUAUAGGAUUAUUUUUUUUUUGUACAUGGUGCUCAGAAUUGUUUUUUUUUUUUCUUUAUCUUUUUUUUAAUCUGUGUUUAAGGUGACCAGCAAUUCAAGAUUGCUCUUAAAUGGGUUACUUGUCAAUGACCACAUCACCUCUCCCAUUGUGGCCUUGAGCUACGUCUUCUCCAUGUUUUAUGUCUGCAACAUCCAAUACCCACCAGAGAUGGCUUUUACUCUCGAAUUCAUGCAAAGAGUUAUCUUUGGGAUCAAUCCUGAGCGAGGCUCCAAGGCAGAGAAGAAGGGGAAGAAACGGCACUUCAUUCCUCCACAGGUGUGCAAGCUGGUUUCUCAGCUGAAGGAAUUUGAAUGCAAGCAGAAGGAAUCUGAGUGGGCCAUUUGAGCUGUUCUCAAAGCUCAGAAAAUACCUUUUUGGACUGAAUGUACACACACACAUGCAAAUCCAAAAACAUGGGGCUUGGGAGUAGAAAUACAGAUUUUUACAGUAUUAUGUGAGUUCAGAUGUUUUAACUAGAUGCCCACAACACACAUGCUGCAGUUUCAAAUCCCCCAUGUUAAGGGGGAGGGAAGGUGGGCGAUAUUUGUCAUUCCAGGAACAGAUUUGCCUGUCAAUGUGGAGUUGGAGGUGUAAGUUUUGUUUUAUUUUUUGCAGAAAUCUCUUUAUGGCAUGUUGCACAGAGUCAUUCUUCCUGACCUUCUAAGGUCAUGGUGGUUGUUGCUGCACUUAUGUUUUAUAGAAAAGUUGUAUAAUGUAAUACUUCUAAUGUUCUAUUUGUUUUUUGUAGAAAGGUCAGACACUGGUUGCAGAGCUUUGCCUGUCGGUGUGAUAUGUGGAGUUGGAGGUGUAGGUUUCUGCAUCCUCCUGGAGGGGGCUCCUCAUUUUACAUUUACAUUUACAUUUAUUCAUUUAGCUGGCGCUUUUAUCCAAAGCGAAUUACAAUUGCUAUAUAUGUCAGAGGUCGCACGCCUCUGGAGCAACUAGGGGUUAAG